GGGGAAUUAGCGCAGCUGGGAGCGCGUUUGACUGGCAGUCAAGAGGUCACGGGUUCGAGCCCCGUAUUCUCCACCA
rnacentral:tRNA from 2 species